rnacentral:rRNA from 1 species
UACAGAGGGCUCAAGCGUUGUUCGGAUUCAUUGGGCGUAAAGGGUGCGUAGGCGGCGCGUUAAGUCGGGUGUGAAAUUUCGAGGCUUAACUUCGAAACUGCAUUCGAUACUGCCGUGCUUGAGGACUGGAGAGGAGACUGGAAUUUACGGUGUAGCAGUGAAAUGCGUAGAUAUCGUAAGGAAGACCAGUGGCGAAGGCGAGUCUCUGGACAGUUACUGACGCUGAGGCACGAAGGCCAGGGGAGCAAACGGG